rnacentral:rRNA from 1 species
UACGGAGUGUGCAAGCGUUACUCGGAAUCACUGGGCAUAAAGCGCGCGUAGGCGGGUAUUCAAGUCGGUUGUGAAAUCCCCCAGCUCAACUGGGGAACUGCAUCCGAUACUGUCUGUCUUGAGGACGAGAGGGGAGAGUGGAACUUCUGGUGGAGCGGUGAAAUGCGUUGAUAUCAUUAGGAACUCCGGUGGCGAAGGCGGCUCGCUGGAUCUCUUCUGACGCUGAGGCGCGAAAGCUAGGGGAGCAAACGGG